rnacentral:rRNA from 1 species
GGCAGGGGACGAUGGGAAAGCGGGGCUGCUGCGGCGGCUUGUCCCCGGCGGCGCGCCGCCGGAGCGGCUGGUUCUCUUCGAGGCCAACCUCUACGACGCCGCCAGCUUCGCACCGGCCAUCGCCGGCUGCCAGUUCGUCUUCCUCGUCGCCACCCCCUUCGCGCACGAGGCCGCCGCCUCCAAGUACAAGACUUCGGCGGAAGCCGCCGCGGACGGGGUGCGCGUCAUCCUCGGGCUAUGCGCGGAAUCUAAGACGGUGAAGCGCGUCAUCCACACCGCCUCGGUGACGGCCGCUUCGCCUCUAACUAAGUCCUCCAGCGCCGCGGCCGCGGUGUACAGCGAUUUCAUCUCUGAAUCUUGUUGGACUCUGCUGGAUGUGGAUUACCCUCUUCGGAGCGUGCAUUUCGAUAAGUACAUAGAGUCAAAGGUCCUGUCAGAGAAGGAGCUCCUAAGCUACAACGACGGUGAGAGCCCGGCGUUCGAGGUGGUCACCCUGGCGUUGGGCCUUGUCGGGGGCGACACAGUGCUCAGCCACCUCCCAGAGACGGUGGAGAGCAUGGUGGCCCCGGUAACCAAGCAAGGGCCCUACUUCAUGCUGCCGAGGAUCCUGCAGAGGUUGCUGGGCUCGCUGCCGCUGGUGCACGUCGACGACGUCUGCUCCGCGCUCAUCUUUUGCAUGGAGCAGCCUGCCCUCUCCGGUCGGUUCCUCUGUGCCGCCGCCUACCCGACGAUCCACGACAUCCUAGACCACUACAGCAGCAAGUACCCCCACCUUGAAGUCCUCAGAGAGACUGAUGAUGUAGCCAGGGUGCAACCCGAGAGGAACAAGCUUGGGGAGCUGGGCUUCAGGUACAAGUACGGGGUGGAGGAGAUACUAGACGAAAGCAUCGACUGUGCUGUGAGGCUGGGCUCCCUGGAUGCAUCCAAGCUCAUCGUCCAGCAGGAGUGAUGAACUCAAUGGAAGGAGGACUUUCACAGAAAAACAGAAGUGUCAGCCAAACCAAGCUAGUACACCAUCCAGCGAGCAUAAAACAAAGGAAAAGAAGUAGGACGUACCUCUCUCUUUAAAUAAAUAUCCCACCUAUCAAACUCAAGCAAGAGUCGAACAGCUAGUUUUUUAUGGCCAUGGAACCGGCUGGGACAGUCAAAUGAGCUAAGCUCCUAUGAAUGAAACACC